rnacentral:rRNA from 1 species
AGAGUUUGAUCCUGGCUCAGAACGAACGCUGGCGGCAGGCUUAACACAUGCAAGUCGAGCGCCCCGCAAGGGGAGCGGCAGACGGGUGAGUAACGCGUGGGAACGUACCCUUCAGUUCGGGAUAAGCCGAGGAAACUUGGUCUAAUACCGGAUACGUCCGAAAGGAGAAAGGUUUUUCGCUGAAGGAUCGGCCCGCGUCU